rnacentral:rRNA from 1 species
GAUGAACGCUGACAGAAUGCUUAACACAUGCAAGUCUGCCAAGAAUCACUUCGGUGAGGAAUGGUGGCGGACGGGUGAGUCACGCGUAAAUAAUCUGCCCUUUAGACUGGGAUAUCCUUUGGAAACGAAGGUUAAUACCGGAUAUUAUGAGAUGGACGCAUGUUCAACUUAUGAAAGCUAAAUGCACUAGAGGAGGAGUUUGCGUCCCAUUAGCUAGUUGGUGAGGUAAAGGCUCACCAAGGGCACGAUGGUUAGCCGGACGGAGAGGGUGAACGACCACAAGGGAACUGCAACACGGUCCUGACUCCUUCGGGAGGCAGCAGUGGUGAAUAUUGGACAAUGGACCAAAAGUCUGAUCCAGCAAUUCUGUGUGCACGAUGAAGGUCUUCGGAUUGUAAAGUGCUUUCAGUAGGGAAGAAAAAAAUGACGGUACCUACAGAAGAAGCGACGGCUAAAUAUGUGCCAGCAGCCGCCGUAA